rnacentral:rRNA from 1 species
UACGAAGGGGGCUAGCGUUGCUCGGAAUCACUGGGCGUAAAGCGCACGUAGGCGGAUCUUUAAGUCAGGGGUGAAAUCCUGGAGCUCAACUCCAGAACUGCCUUUGAUACUGGGGAUCUCGAGUCCGGGAGAGGUGAGUGGAACUCCGAGUGUAGAGGUGAAAUUCGUAGAUAUUCGGAAGAACAUCAGUGGCGAAGGCGGCUCACUGGCCCGGUACUGACGCUGAGGUGCGAAAGCGUGGGGAGCAAACAGG